UACAGAGGUCUCAAGCGUUGUUCGGAUUCAUUGGGCGUAAAGGGUGCGUAGGCGGCGCGGUAAGUCGGGUGUGAAAUCUUGGAGCUUAACUCCGAAACUGCAUUCGAUACUGCCGUGCUUGAGGACUGGAGAGGAGACUGGAAUUUACGGUGUAGCGGUGAAAUGCGUAGAUAUCGUAAGGAAGACCAGUGGCGAAGGCGGGUCUCUGGUCAGUUCCUGACGCUGAAGCACGAAGGCCAGGGGAGCAAACGGG
rnacentral:rRNA from 1 species